UAACCGAUCGUCCCCAUACCCCGUUCAAUAUGAGCGCCAUAAAUAUCAUUCCUCAAUACCCCGUCCAGUAUGAGGGUAAAACUGGUUGUCCUCAUACCUUGUCCAGUAUGAGCGCUAAAAUACUAAUUCUCGAUAUCCUGUCCGGUAUGAAGCAAUGUUCACAGUAGGGUUCCCUAUACAUCCAGCCCGUCCACCAUCUCUCAAGAUAUCUAGUAAGGCUACCAUUCAUUCAAUCACUUAAUC
rnacentral:lncRNA from 1 species